GUGCCAGCCGCCGCGGUAAUACCGGCAGCCCGAGUGAUGGCCGCUGUUAUUGGGCCUAAAGCGUCCGUAGCUGGCCGCACAAGUCCGUCGGGAAAUCCGCCCGCUCAACGGGCGGCCGUCCGGCGGAACCUGUGUGGCUUGGAACCGGAAGGCUCAGAGGGUACGUCCGGGGUAGGAGUGAAAUCCCGUAAUCCCGGACGGACCACCGAUGGCGAAAGCACUCUGAGAAGACGGCUUCGACAGUGAGGGACGAAAGCUAGGGUCUCAAACCGGAUUAGAUACCCCGGUAGUCC
rnacentral:rRNA from 1 species